rnacentral:rRNA from 1 species
GACGAACGCUGGCGGCGUGCUUAACACAUGCAAGUCGAACGGAAAGGCCCUGCUUUUGUGGGGUGCUCGAGUGGCGAACGGGUGAGUAACACGUGAGUAACCUGCCCUUGACUUUGGGAUAACUUCAGGAAACUGGGGCUAAUACCGGAUAGGAGCUCCUGCUGCAUGGUGGGGGUUGGAAAGUUUCGGCGGUUGGGGAUGGACUCGCGGCUUAUCAGCUUGUUGGUGGGGUAGUGGCUUACCAAGGCUUUGACGGGUAGCCGGCCUGAGAGGGUGACCGGCGACAUUGGGACUGAGAGACGGCCCAGACUCCUACGGGAGGCAGCAGUGGGGAAUAUUGCACAAUGGGCGGAAGCCUGAUGCAGCAACGCCGCGUGCGGGAUGACGGCCUCCGGGUUGUAAACCGCUUUCGCCUGUGACGAAGCGUGAGUGACGGUAAUGGGUAAAGAAGCACCGGCUAACUACGUG